CUCCUAGGAAGUCCUCGUUUUGCAUCCC
rnacentral:rRNA from 1 species